UACAGAGGUCCCAAGCGUUGUUCGGAUUCACUGGGCGUAAAGGGUGCGCAGGUGGUUUGGCAAGUUUGACGUGAAAGCCCCGGGCUUAACCCGGGAAUGGCGUUGAAAACUGCUUGAACUGGAGGGUUGGAGGGGGGACUGGAAUUCCUGGUGUAGCAGUGAAAUGCGUAGAUAUCAAGAGGAACACCAGUGGCGAAGGCGAGUCCCUGGACAAACCCUGACACUGAGGCACGAAAGCCAAGGGAGCAAACAGG
rnacentral:rRNA from 1 species